rnacentral:rRNA from 1 species
GACGAACGCUGGCGGCGUGCUUAACACAUGCAAGUCGAACGGAAAGGCCCCUUCGGGGGUACUCGAGUGGCGAACAGGUGAGUAACACGUGAGUAACCUGCCCUUGACUUCGGGAUAACUUCAGGAAACUGGGGCUAAUACCGGAUAGGAAUCCUUGCUGCAUGGUGGGGGUUGGAAAGCUUCGGCUGUUUUGGAUGGACUCGCGGCUUAUCAGCUUGUUGGUGGGGUAGUGGCUUACCAAGGCUUUGACGGGUAGCCGGCCUGAGAGGGCGACCGGCCACAUUGGGACUGAGAUACGGCCCAGACUCCUACGGGAGGCAGCAGUGGGGAAUAUUGCACAAUGGGCGGAAGCCUGAUGCAGCAACGCCGCGGGCGGGAUGACGGCCUUCGGGUUGGAAACCGCUUUCAGCAGGGGCGAAGCUUGUGGUGACGGUACCUGCAGAAGAAGCACCGGCUAACUACGUG